GGUGGUAACGACCGUUCGUGCCUAAACGGACACAGUCGCCAGUACUAUCGUCUCAUCCGCGCUUACCAGCCCCCACGGUCGGUCGGUUAGGAAGAGAAAUUCAUGAGUGUGCGGCGGCUGCGACCUUGAACCAGAUGGAGGAAGCUGGAGUUUCUGCUCGACGCCGUCGACAGACCAAAACAGAGCUGUGGAGUUGGCUAUCAUCAAGGUAUACCCAGGAACUAUGCACCGGUGGUACAAACGGCAUGUCAUCAAGAAAGCACAAGAGAGUUUGGGGCCACUCCACACAUAAAAAACGACUUUCAGGCAGAGUUUGAUAAGGCUGUGAAUACAUGAGGCAGCAGUUUGACCGGGAGCGAGAAGAGAGUUAUGAAGAGAAACACACUAGGAUAGUGAAUUUUCUUUUUAUGUGAGUGUUUCCUCCCCUUAAUUUGCUAGGUUUCUGGGAAAAUGUUUAUUUUCAAA